GGAGCAAUAGCUCAGUGGUAGAGCUUCCGCUUCGUAUGCGGUAAAACCUGCGUUCGAUUCCCGGCUGCUUUC
rnacentral:tRNA from 1 species